GUGUCAGCAGCCGCGGUAAUACGUAGGCAGCAAGCGUUGUUCGGAGUUACUGGGCGUAAAGAGUAUGUAGGCGGUUGUCCAAGUCUGGUGUGAAAUCUCCCGGCUUAACUGGGAGGGUGCGCCGGAUACUGGAGAGCUAGAGCGUGGGAGAGGAAAGCGGAAUUCCUGGUGUAGCGGUGAAAUGCGUAGAUAUCAGGAGGAACACCGGCGGUGUAGACGGCUUUCUGGACCACGGCUGACGCUGAGAUACGAAAGCGUGGGUAGCAAACAGGAUUAGAUACCCUGGUAGUCCACGCCCUAAACGAUGCACACUUGGUGUGAGCCAUUCAUUUGGUUCGUGCCGGAGCUAACGCGUUAAGUGUGCCGCCUGGGGAGUACGGUCGCAAGGCUGAA
rnacentral:rRNA from 1 species